AAAAAGGCUUUGACGAGAAAAAGUAGAACGUCCGUAUUUUUUACAGAGAGCUUCGGUAGCUGAAAAGAAGCAAAAAUGCCCGUUCGAAAAUGGCCUCCGAGCUGCGCACUGAACAUACAAGUAGGCUGCGACAAGUGUUGGUACUUGUUAUCAAAACCACAGUAUAAGAGUCUUUUUAAUGACUCCGUACUUGAGAGAGGCUGCAUGGUGUAAACCAGCAGUAAAUUAAGGUGGUACCACGGAAUUUCAACCCCGUCCUUAUC
rnacentral:ncRNA from 2 species